rnacentral:rRNA from 1 species
UCCAGACUCCUACGGGAGGCAGCAGUGGGGAAUAUUGGGCAAUGGACGCAAGUCUGACCCAGCAACGCCGCGUGAAGGAAGAAGGCUUUCGGGUUGUAAACUUCUUUUAAGGGGGAAGAGCAGAAGACGGUACCCCUUGAAUAAGCCACGGCUAACUACGUGCCAGCAGCCGCGGUAAUACGUAGGGGGCAAGCGUUAUCCGGAUUUACUGGGUGUAAAGGGAGCGUGGACGGCAAUACAAGUCGGAAGUGAAAUACCCGGGCUUAACCUGGGAACUGCUUUGGAAACUGUAUGGCUGGAGUGCUGGAGAGGUAAGCGGAAUUCCUAGUGUAGCGGUGAAAUGCGUAGAUAUUAGGAGGAACACCAGUGGCGAAGGCGGCUUACUGGACAGUAACUGACGUUGAGGCUCGAAAGCGUGGGGAGCAAACAGGAUUAGAUACCCUAGUA